rnacentral:misc_RNA from 1 species
CAGAGAAAUUGCCCUUUGGGGUAGAUCUCCCACCCUUUGUUUACAUUACCUUUGUUGCUUUGGCAGGCCCGUCUUAUGACCACUGGCUUAGGCUGGUCCGUGCCUGCCAGAGGACCCUAAACUCUGAAUAUUAUUGUCGUCUGAGUACUAUAUAAUAGUUA